rnacentral:rRNA from 1 species
UACGUAGGGUGCAAGCGUUGUCCGGAAUUAUUGGGCGUAAAGAGCUCGUAGGCGGUUUGUUGCGUCGGCUGUGAAAUCCCGAGGCUCAACCUCGGGUCUGCAGUCGAUACGAGCAAACUAGAGUGUUGCAGGGGAGACUGGAAUUCCUGGUGUAGCGGUGAAAUGCGCAGAUAUCAGGAAGAACACUGGUGGCGAAGGCGGGUCUCUGGGCAACAACUGACGCUGAGGAGCGAAAGCGUGGGGAGCGAACAGG